UGUUGAGAUAGUAAUUUUAUC
rnacentral:piRNA from 1 species